rnacentral:rRNA from 1 species
GAUGAACGCUAGCGAUAGGCUUAACACAUGCAAGUCGAGGGGCAGCAUGGUCUUAGCUUGCUAAGACUGAUGGCGACCGGCGCACGGGUGCGUAACGCGUAUGCAACUUGCCUCACAGAGGGGGAUAACCCGUCGAAAGACGGACUAAUACCGCGUACACUCUAUUUUGGGCAUCCAAGGUAGAGGAAAUGAAAUUCGCUGUGAGAUAGGCAUGCGUCCCAUUAGCUAGUUGGUGAGGUAACGGCUCACCAAGGCGACGAUGGGUAGGGGAACUGAGAGGUUGAACCCCCACACUGGUACUGAGACACGGACCAGACUCCUACGGGAGGCAGCGGUGAGGAAUAUUGGUCAAUGGGCGAGAGCCUGAACCAGCCAAGUCGCGUGAAGGAUGACUGUCUUAUGGAUUGUAAACUUCUUUUGUAGGGGAAUAAAGAGGGGCACGUGUGCCCCAGUGAAUGUACCCUACGAAUAAGCAUCGGCUAACUCCGUG